AAAGAUAAAUGUUGGGAAGAGGAAUGAACAUAUCCCAAGCAGCAUUUAUGACCCAACAGCUGAAGAAGAGGAGGGGACAUGGAAAAACGCUUGUGGCCUGGCCUCUGCCUUCUUGUGGAAUCACAUAUAAGAUUUCUAGCUUGGCGAACUCCUUGAGGACAUGGGCUUUGUUUUCUGUUCCAUUUUACCCUCCACUGUGCCUUCGCAGGCUUUCCCAUUGAGUGUUUUCAAUGGGAAAUGUCUAACUGCUCUGUGGGUGUACACCACGGCCAGUUGCUAAUUUUGGAACACUUGUGAAUCCUGGGCCCAGAGUCAUGACCAAUACUGGAUUCCCCAGGAUCAACCAUCUGAGCAGAUACCUUGGAAUGUCCCCAGAUUUCAGAGCCUCGGACCAGCAGCAACACACUCUGAAGUAGGUCUCAGAAGACAAAAAGCUGAAAUCAACUCAUGCUUCCUGCUACACAGAAUCCACUGAGAGGAAAAGGAAACUUCACCGAAACUUCAGAAAGCUACAGAAAUGACAUCCAUUUUCACAAUCCCAGAAGGAAAGAUGCAUCUGAAGGGAAUAAAAACAGAGCAAUGGAAGAGUAUUUGUUAAAAUAAAUGGCUUUGACAGGGCAUUUUCUCUAAAGGUCUCCUUUGCCUCAAAUAGUACUCCUGCCUUCAGUCCAUCUUGCAUGCCACCCAGCUGUGGGCAUCCUGGCAGUUGCUGCCAUGUCCUUGCCUAAAAGCCUCCACCCCCAACCAACCCACC
rnacentral:lncRNA from 1 species